rnacentral:lncRNA from 1 species
GCAACAAAAGGAUAAAUUGAGACGCUGAGUGAACGUUGAAAUGUUUUUCAGUUAACUCAGCAACAACAAACGACAUGGCCAUUACCACAGUAAGGCUUUGGAGUGAACCGCAACCUCCCUUACAAAGGAAAAAGGACCCAGUGUCCAGUUAAUUGCAAGGAAAUUUUGGAGUCAUUACAGCAGGUGUUUGUGGAUGCUUCGCAGUCACCCAGGGUCCAGGCAAGCCGACCGUGCAUGGGCAUCGGAGACCAUGGCUGUGCAGCUGGUGCCCGACUCUGCUCUCAGCCUGCUGAUGGGGAAAUGUACCUUUGUGAGGCCUGAUGAGUUUAUUAAGAGCACUUGGAAGAGGAGCCAGUGGGGAGCCCGUCUCCUGAGCGAUGAGCUGGGUCAAGUUAAGAGGGAUGGAGAUCAUGGUUCGUUGUCACCCCAAAUGUCAUGUAAAAUGCCUGGGAUCUCAUGGGCUUCUGUUGAAUUUGAUUCCACUGGGAGAGGAGUAUUCAAGAAAAUUAAAGUUGUUUUCUGGAGAAAUUACCUGGUCGUCCGCUCCCUUCCUCAUACUUGGAUUGUCUAAUGUACUUUACGUCCAUGGUCUCCCUGGGGUCACAUACGUGG